ensembl:lncRNA
GGAGAGGCGGCCCCGCUCUCCCUGUCCUCGGCCUUCGGGGUGGGGGUUACGGCCCUUCCCAGCCCAUUCCGCUGCUCCGAUGCCGCCCUGCCGGCUGCGCCGCGUACGCCUCCUGGGGUCGCCUCUCUGCGGUCACCCAGGACCCGUCCCAAGGGCUCCGAGCAGCCCAUCGCUGCGGAACUCCUCUCCCCUCAAAACCCCGUCCUUCCGGGCACACAGCAAAUCUCUCUCCUGCUCCCUCCGUUCGGUUUUAGCACCGAUCGGGAGUAUGCUGGUGGGGACGCAACCUAUGGCGACAGACUUCGCUAACUUCUUUUUUUUCGCCCCGCUUUCCUCAAAAAAUUGGUGUUUUCCUCCUCCUUUACUCGGCUGUUGAGUUCGCCUAUCAGGGACAAUAUCACUAGUUCUUCGCUUUCCCCCCUCUCCCACCCCCAGCCCACCCCCUACGCCGUACGGCAAAACUAGGCGAGAAGUGUCAUUUGUCCGAGGUGUAUCACACGCACGUAGUAUCCGACACAUCGAAGACGAAGCAGUCAGACCAAGAGCUUUUAUCUGUCACCAGGACAUCUCUCUGGUGGAAGAGCAGCCCCCGCUGCCAGGUGCCGCACCGGCUGAGCGUGUGCGCCCACGAUCCUUUCGCCAUUCCCCACCCUGUUUCCAGUUUGUUUCUUUCCCACCCUGACUUCUCGCGGAGCCUGGGAAAGCUUCUGCUGUUUAGGUUCUGUCUGUGUCUCAGGCAAGACGUUUUAACACAAAUUUGAGCGGGGCUGGGGCAAAAGAAUUGUUUAGACUGGCGUCAUUUUGACAAGGUCAUCCGUCAUCUUCUGUAUAGAUUGAUAACACCUAAGUUAAAGGCAAACACAAGUAGGGAAAAAAAAAAAAAACCAAAAACAACCCAACAACCCCGAUUGUUACGGCUUACGGAGUCGGCUGUACAACGUUCUCAAUGUCUCUGAUCGACCCCCAGAGCGUAAGACGCGAUGGAUUUUCAGCCGCCUCGCCCCACCUCUGUGCGCUUCGUGAAGCUGCGGCUCCCGGCGGUGGGCUGCGGGGCAGCGGCCGCUGCUUUGCUCCGCGGGGAACCGCGUUGGCGCAGUGCCCUCCUCCUUGGCCACCUCCUGACCGAAAUAUUCCGCGCGGGAUCGUACUGCGAGGACUCCACUCCGCUGCUGCGCGGCGUUUCCUCGGGCGGCGGGCCAUGCGACAGAGCCGGCGGCACAAAACGCAAAGCCCGCAGCCCGGACCCGGCUCCUCUCCGUUCCCGUCCGGAGGGGGAAGAGGGGAAGGAAGCGCGGAGGAUCCCGCCGCUGCCAACCCUUCGGGGUCGGCGAGAGCGGCCCCCCGCUCCCCGGCCCCGCCAGCCCCGUCCUUCGGCUUUUUCUCGCGGCGUCGGAGCCGCUCGAUGAGCGUUGGAUAAAGAGGAGGGAGGAUGCGGGUGGGAAACGAUCCGAGGGCCCCUCGCGGAGCUGCUCCCCUCUCCGCUGCUCCGCUGCUUCCCGGCCCGGCGGCCCCGAGGUGGACUGCGGCCUGUUUGCUGAGUCGUGGGUGUUUUGCAAACCCCCCCCCCCCCCCUUCUGGGUGUGCUUUCCUGUGUAAAGAUGCAGGGGGGGGAAAUAAAUAAAUAAAUAAAUAAAUAAAUAAAUAAAUAAAUAAAUAAAUAAAUGGAAAAGAAAAAGGAAAGAAGGAAGGCGGAAAGGAGACUCUGAGUCCUCGUUCUCCUUCCCCUUCCCUCCGGCUUUUCCAUUAUUCAGAGGACGAGAGCUGAAACAAAUCACACAGACCGUUUAGAAAGCGAUCAGACCUUUAUAAAAAUCCAUCGCCUGCGGAUCGAUGGGUGAAUAUUUGCAAGGAAUUUGUUCAAAAGAAAUAAAUAAGGAGGGUGAGUGUAUGAAACGCAGUUGGGGGGAACACGGUGGUGUUUUUCUUCAUUGAUUAAUGACCUCUAAAAUAAAACAAGCGGGAAGAGGAGCCAAGAUCGAUAAAUUAACUGCCCAAAUUCAUCAUUUUUUUCCCGGGGAUUUUCUUCAUUUUUUUUUUUUUUAAUAACCCCUAGGAAGGACGCCCGUCCCUUUGGGAACUCGAAGGUUUUACGUUCGGGUGGCCGUAGGAAAGGGAGAUAAACCCCUUCGCGGAGGGACGGAGCCGGGGACACCCUACCUGAUUUCGUUUGACACAGAAUUAAAAAGUUUGCCUUUCAUGUUAAUUAAUUCUCCCGAUCCGGGGAAGACGAAUGGUCGGUUCCCUCUGACAGGAGUCCGAUAAAGGAUGCAGCAGCUUCCCUUCUUGCCCUCGGCGUCUCCUCGUCGCAGCUUUAAGGUCACGAGCGGCCGAGUUAAUAAUUCAUUAAUACGGACGUUUAUUCAGACGGGGCUCGCGGGGAUUCGCGCUCCCCUUCCUCCCGCCGCUCGCACGCAGUUUCCCUCGAAGAGAGGAGGAGGAGGGACGGAGGAAGGCGGUCGCGUUUCUGCGCACGUGAGCGGGGCCGCCGGGGCAGCGCAG